AUCGAACGCUGGCGGCAUGCCUAACACAUGCAAGUCGAGCGGCGCGGCGGACGGGUGCGUCCUACCUAGGAAUCAGCAUGGUAGUAGGGGAUCCCGCUGGGGAACGGAAGAUUAUACCGCAUACUUGCAAGUCAGCUUCGGUCGAAUUUGCUAGUUGGUGCGGUAAUGGCUUACAAAGGCUUCGAUCCGUAUCUGGCCUGAGAGGAUGAUCAAUCACACUGGAACUGGGAAACGGUCCAGACUCCUACGGGAGGCAGCAGUGGGGAAUAUUGGACAAUGGGCGAAAGCCUGAUCCAGCCAUGCCGCGUGUGUGAAGAAGGUUUUCGGAUUGUAAAGCACUUUUAGUAGGGAGGCGUUACCGACAGAAUAAGCACCGGCUAACUCUGUGCCAGCCGCCGCGGUAAUAC
rnacentral:rRNA from 1 species